rnacentral:rRNA from 1 species
GAUGAACGCUGGCGGCGUGCUUAACAUAUGCAAGUCGAACGAUGAAGCCCAGCUUGCUGGGUGGAUUAGUGGCGAACGGGUGAGUAACACGUGAGUAACCUGCCCUUGACUCUGGGAUAAGCCUGGGAAACUGGGUCUAAUACUGGAUAUGACUUCUCAUCGCAUGGUGGGGGGUGGAAAGAUUUAUUGGUCUUGGAUGGACUCGCGGCCUAUCAGCUUGUUGGUGAGGUAAUGGCUCACCAAGGCGACGACGGGUAGCCGGCCUGAGAGGGUGACCGGCCACACUGGGACUGAGACACGGCCCAGACUCCUACGGGAGGCAGCAGUGGGGAAUAUUGCACAAUGGGCGCAAGCCUGAUGCAGCGACGCCGCGUGAGGGAUGACGGCCUUCGGGUUGUAAACCUCUUUCAGUAGGGAAGAAGCGAGAGUGACGGUACCUGCAGAAGAAGCGCCGGCUAACUACGUG